CACGUGACAUCCGGCCGCCGCGCCCACACAACGGCGCGCCGCUGAGGACAAAAACAAAACGUCACGGGAAAAGUCGCAACGCGCCAACGACCAAGCCCCCUCACCACCGGGAGACAGGAAGGCAGCGCGAGGAUGUCAAGUUAAAGGCAAAAUACUGCGGAUGCUGGAAAUCUGAAGCAGAAGGUGCUGGAAAAUACUCAGCAGGAUCUUCACCCAGGAGUAAUGAACAAAGCAGCUACCUGUACCAGGAUGCUGCACGACCCAGAGGGACGGUGUUCUCAAAGCACUGCUGGAAUUGCCCUGCUCAGCGGUAUGGGAGCUGCUGUCAGCAAUUUGGGCUUCAGUUAACUGGACGAGGUACCAUGCCCUAAGAGGGCCUUGGUGACCAUGGACCUCCAUAUUAAUCUUGCUCUACAGGCACGGAUCAUCUUCGUUGGCGGUUCAUUCAUCCAGUUUGUGAGGCUCUUCAGAAAGAUCAUUCUUUGUCCAUCUCGAUCUCUUUUACCAUCGAUCUUUCCCAUCAGCAUCAGGCUUUCUAAAUCAUGAUUUCUUAUUACCUGCCCCAGAAAUUCCAACUAUUUCCUCCGGAUCUUGGGUCAGCAGAGCUAUUUUGGUCUUGGAUUUUAUGUGGCAAAUCGCCAAAGUGUGUCUGGUACAGAGUGUAUAGUUCCCUUUUUAAUAAA